rnacentral:rRNA from 1 species
CGGACGGGUGAGUAACACGUGGAUAACUUACCUAUAAGACUGGGAUAACUUCGGGAAACCGGAGCUAAUACCGGAUAAUAUAUUGAACCGCAUGGUUCAAUAGUGAAAGACGGUUUUGCUGUCACUUAUAGAUGGAUCCGCGCCGCAUUAGCUAGUUGGUAAGGUAACGGCUUUACCAAGGCAACGAUGCGUAGCCGACCUGAGAGGGUGAUCGGCCACACUGGAACUGAGACACGGUCCAGACUCCUACGGGAGGCAGCAGCA